rnacentral:rRNA from 1 species
ACCAGACUCCUACGGGAGGCAGCAGUGGGGGAUAUUGCACAAUGGGGGAAACCCUGAUGCAGCGACGCCGCGUGGGUGAAGAAGCGCCUCGGCGCGUAAAGCCCUGUCAGCAGGGAAGAAAAUGACGGUACCUGAAGAAGAAGCCCCGGCUAACUACGUGCCAGCAGCCGCGGUAAUACGUAGGGAGCAAGCGUUGUCCGGAAUUACUGGGUGUAAAGGGAGCGUAGGCGGGAUAGUAAGUUGAUUGUUAAAACUAUCGGCUCAACUGGUAGAUGCGAUCAAAACUGCAAUUCUUGAGUGAAGUAGAGGCAGGCGGAAUUCCUAGUGUAGCGGUGAAAUGCGUAGAUAUUAGGAGGAACACCAGUGGCGAAGGCGGCUUACUGGACGAUGACUGACGCUGAGGCUCGAAAGCGUGGGGAGCAAACAGGAUUAGAUACCCUUGUAC